rnacentral:rRNA from 1 species
AACGUACGCUGGCGGCACGCCUAACACAUGCAAGUCGAACGAAGUAACAAUACUUAGUGGCAGACGGGUGAGUAACAUGUAGGUAUCUGCCCUUUGGCCUGGAAUAACACGAGGAAACUUGUGCUAAUACCGGAUAAGUCUUUACGGAGAAAGCUUUAUGCACCAUUGGAUGAGCCUGCACUUGAUUAGUUUGUUGGUGGGGUAAUGGCCUACCAAGACUGUGAUCAAUAGCUGAUUUGAGAGGAUGAUCAGCCACAUUGGGACUGAGACACGGCCCAAACUCCUACGGGAGGCAGCAGUGGGGAAUCUUGCACAAUGGAGGAAACUCUGAUGCAGCGAUGCCGCGUGAGUGAAGAAGGCCCUUGGGUUGUAAAGCUCUUUCGUCGGGGAAGAAAAUGACUGUACCCGAAUAAGAAGGUCCGGCUAACUUCGUG